AUGUCCUGAGGAAUGCAAAGAAGC
rnacentral:siRNA from 1 species